GGGUCUUUUGAAGCAAUUCGGAUUAUUGGUCCUAAAAUGAGUAAGAAAUACUCCCAGCAGGAGCUACAUCCGAUCAGGGAGAAUGAGACAAGCCAAAUUCUGAAAUUGGCAUAAUUGGUCCUGAGGGUUUGAUCAGGUACCUCUUCUUCAAAGGGGAAGGAGCCGGCGCGGUAGCGGCACAUCAUGCACACACACUGGUUUCCGUAUUUACGAGAUUUCUCUGGGAUUUAUACUCUGAUAUUUCGAUUGGUUGUAUGAUUUGGCUUUUAGACAUGGUUUACGUUGUGUUGUGGUUUGAUCAAACAAUGUUUUUAAUUAUUAAUGUUUUCUAAAGUAAUGUUUUAAAACGAAAUUUUUGGA